GACGGGACCCGCACAAGCGGUGGAGCAUGUGGUUUAAUUCGACGAUACGCGAAGAACCUUACCUGGCCUUGACAUACUAAAAAGCUUUAAGAGAUUAGAGUGUGCUAGCUUGCUAGAAUUUAGAUACAGGUGCUGCACGGCUGUCGUCAGCUCGUGUCGUGAGAUGUUGGGUUAAGUCCCGCAACGAGCGCAACCCUCGUGUUUAGUUGCUAACAGUUCGGCUGAGAACUCUAAACAGACUGCCUACGCAAGUAGGAGGAAGGUGAGGACGACGUCAAGUCAUCAUGGCCCUUACGGCCAGGGCUACACACGUGCUACAAUGGGUAUACAAAGAGCAGCGAUACGGUGACGUGGAGCAAAUCUAGAAAAUGCCUCUCAGUUCGGAUUGUAGUCUGCAACUCGACUACAUGAAGUUGGAAUCGCUAGUAAUCGUAGAUCAGCAAUGCUACGGUGAAUACGUUCCCGGGUCUU
rnacentral:rRNA from 1 species